rnacentral:rRNA from 1 species
CGUUCCCGGGCCUUGUACACACCGCCCGUCAAGUCACGAAAGUCGGUAACACCCGAAGCCGGUGGCCCAACUCUUUGAGAGGGAGCCGUCGAAGGUGGGACUGGCGAUAGGGACU